rnacentral:rRNA from 1 species
UACGUAGGGGGCAAGCGUUGUCCGGAUUUAUUGGGCGUAAAGAGCGUGUAGGCGGCCUGGAAGGUCCGUUGUGAAAACUCGAGGCUCAACCCCGAGACGUCGAUGGAAACCCUCAGGCUAGAGUCCGGAAGAGGAGAGUGGAAUUCCUAGUGUAGCGGUGAAAUGCGCAGAUAUCAGGAAGAACACCUAUGGCGAAGGCAGCUCUCUGGGACGGUACUGACGCUGAGACGCGAAAGCGUGGGGAGCGAACAGG